GGGAAGGCAUAGACAGCCAGGAUGUUGGCUUAGAAGCAGCCAUCAUUUAAAGAAAGCGUAAUAGCUCACUGGUCGAGUCGGCCUGCGCGGAAGAUGUAACGGGGCUAAACCAUGCACCGAAGCUGCGGCAGCGACGCUUAGGCGUUGUUGGGUAGGGGAGCGUUCUGUAAGCCGUUGAAGGUGGCCUGUGAGGGUUGCUGGAGGUAUCAGAAGUGCGAAUGCUGACAUAAGUAACGAUAAAGCGGGUGAAAAGCCCGCUCGCCGGAAGACCAAGGGUUCCUGUCCAACGUUAAUCGGGGCAGGGUGAGUCGACCCCUAAGGCGAGGCUGAAAAGCG
rnacentral:rRNA from 1 species